rnacentral:rRNA from 1 species
UACGUAGGGGGCAAGCGUUGUCCGGAUUUAUUGGGCGUAAAGAGCGUGUAGGCGGCUAGGUAGGUCCGUUGUGAAAACUCGAGGCUCAACCUCGAGACGUCGAUGGAAACCAUCUAGCUAGAGUCCGGAAGAGGAGAGUGGAAUUCCUGGUGUAGCGGUGAAAUGCGUAGAUAUCUGGAAGAACACCGGUGGCGCAAGCGGAUUGCUGGGCCAUAACUGACACUGAGGAACGAAAGCUAGGGGAGCGAAUGGG